CAGAGAAUAUUCCAGUUUUAUUAAAAACAACAUUUUCGAAACAAAUAGUUGCAUACUGCAAGCUGACUGGCAAAUGCAUAGACAUUAUUGGCGAAACAGAUACUGAAGGAAAUAGCAAUACGGAUGCAUUGGUACUAAAAUCUUUAAAGGCUCUUUAUCUCUUGCCAACAAUGGGAAAAUAUCGUGUUUCAACAAGUGCAGCAAUGGUUUUCUUAAUUGAAGAACUAAAGGAUGGCGAGGCUCUUGAAAGGUUUUUUGAUAACUCAAAUCCAAAACAGCAGCCUUUCAUUUUGUCAUGUGGAUUGUCUUUUUUCGUUGUGUGUGAUAGAAAAGCAAUUAUACGCUCUAAGAAAAAAUCCGUUAUAUACAACGAAUUGUAUCUGUCGCUAUUGCA
rnacentral:lncRNA from 1 species